GUAAGUGUGGCCGAGUGGUGAAGGCGAUGGCCUAGAAAUCCAUUGGGGUUUCCCCGUGCAGGUUCGAAUCCUCCAAGCUACG
rnacentral:tRNA from 1 species